rnacentral:rRNA from 1 species
GAGGAAUAUUGGUCAAUGGGCGGAAGCCUGAACCAGCCAUGCCGCGUGCAGGAAGACGGCCCUACGGGUUGUAAACUGCUUUUCCGGGGGAAGAAUAAGGCCCACGUGUGGGCCGAUGCCGGUACCCCGGGAAUAAGGAUCGGCUAACUCCGUGCCAGCAGCCGCGGUAAUACGGAGGAUCCGAGCGUUAUCCGGAUUUACUGGGUUUAAAGGGUGCGUAGGCGGGCGCUUAAGUCAGCGGUGAAAUGCGGGGGCUCAACCUUCGAACGGCCGUUGAUACUGGGCGCCUUGGAUUCGGUCGAGGCGGGCGGAAUGCGACAUGUAGCGGUGAAAUGCUUAGAUAUGUCGCAGAACGCCGAUUGCGAAGGCAGCUCGCCGGGCCGAUAUUGACGCUGAGGCACGAAAGCGUGGGGAUCGAAC